AUACGGAGGAUCCGAGCGUUAUCCGGAUUUAUUGGGUUUAAAGGGUGCGCAGGCGGGAGAUUAAGUCGGCGGUGAAAUUUUUCAGCUCAAAUGUAAAAGUGCCUUUGAAAAUGGUUUUCUUGAGUGUAGAUGAAGUCGGCGGAAUUUGUGGUGUAGCGGUGAAAUGCAUAGAUAUCACGAGGAACUCCGAUUGCGCAGGCAGCUUACUAAACUACUACUGACGCUCAGGCACGAAGGCGUGGGGAUCAAACAGGAUUAGAUACCCUGGUAGUCCACGCAGUAAACGAUGAUUACUAGCUGUUUGCGAUACAAUGUAAGCGGCUGAGCGAAAGCGUUAAGUAAUCCACCUGGGGAGUACGUUCGCAAGAAUGAAACUCAAAUGAAUUGACGGGG
rnacentral:rRNA from 1 species